rnacentral:rRNA from 1 species
GACGAACGCUGGCGGCGUGCUUAACACAUGCAAGUCGAACGGAAAGGCCCUGCUCUUGUGGGGUGCUCGAGUGGCGAACGGGUGAGUAACACGCGAGUAACCUGCCCCUGACUUUGGGAUAACUUCAGGAAACUGGGGCUAAUACCGGAUAGGAGCUCUUGAUCCAUGGUGGGGGUUGGUAAGAUUCGGCGGUUGGGGAUGGACUCGCUGCUUAUCAGCUUGUUGGUGGGGUAGUGGCUUACCAAGGCUUCGACGGGUAGCCGGCCUGAGAGGGUGACCGGCCACAUUGGUACUGAGGUACGGCCCAGACUCCUACGGGAGGCAACAGUGGAGAAUAUUGCACAAUGAGCGGAAGCCAGAUGCAGAGACGCCGCGUGCGGGAUGACGGCCUUCGAGUUGAAAACCGAUUUCGCCUGUAACGAGGCGUGAGUGACGGUAAUGAGUAAAAAAGCACCGGCUAACUACGUG